rnacentral:misc_RNA from 1 species
UUUUGUAUAAAAAUAUAACAAAAGUUAGAACGAAGCUCCAAGUUUGCUCGGUAGUAAAGCCACUGUUAGAGUUCGCUUCGGUAACGGCUCUUGCGGAGCUCUUCCCUCCCGUGUUUCCUUCCUCCCGCAUUAGUAAACUGCCUGCUUCCUGCAGCACGGCCACUAACUGUUACCCCGUCGUCUUAAUGGACCGUUUACCCCGGCCGACCGACCAGACGACCCACCGCCGUCAGAUUACAAGCUUGACCGCCGUCACUACACUUGCUUAGACUGGCACUCUCUCCUAACAUACUACCUGGGACCAAGAAGCAGCUUGAUGGCUGGUACCCAUAAUGAAUGCGGCUUAAGCUGCGGCGACAAAGUCAGAACUUGUAUUCUCAAGGUACUGCCUCUACCAACGUUACGAUGUUCGCGCAAUCACGAGAUUCGACGACAUAUUGUUAUCACACUGACGACAGAAAUGCAUUAUUACUUUAACUUCAACUCUCAGUUGACUCGAGACUUGACAUGUAACAUAACAAAACGAGAGAGAGAGAGAGAGAGAGAGAGAAUGUAAUAAUUCCAUUACUAAACUGAAGAUAGAUCAAAUAUUACCACAUAUAUGGUACCAGAAAAUAUUAAUGUCAAGAAAGGUAAUAUAAUUUAAAAAACUUAAUAUUAUUUAUUUAUCAUUGCAUAUUUCUGUAUCAUUUCUAAAUCACAGUAAAAAUGUAUUUAUAUAAUUUUUAUACGGACGUAAAACAUUAACAAUUUUCCAGAUAUAAAAGCUUUAAACGUUUUUAGCAUUAAAAAAGCAUUAUAUACCGGGUUGCGCGUAAUAUAAAAAUCAUUAUGCAAAUAAUGUAACAGAAAAAAAGAGAUAAUACAAUUUCGCGAAGCUAAUGUCAGUGAGCGAGAAAAAUGUUUAAGAGGCGAACGAUGCCUCGCCAUACGAUAUUAUAUCAGGAUUUAUGAAAAAAAAAAACGAAGUAAACGCGUCGUCGCUUGUGAAAUGAGGUACGAUAAAAGCAGAGUCGCCGAACCAUUUUUGGCCGCCACCCUCUAUUUAAACAAGAACAAAGGAGAAUCGUCGGCGCAGACGCUGACAUCGAACGACGCGUAUGGACUCGAAUCGAUGUAUAUAUAUGUUGAAAAUAGAUAAUGUCAAGCAGUAUUUCAGUCGCCUUUUUUAACGCUGUCGAUAUUUUGUCCUUAGCUCUGACUUUCCUUCAAAAAGGCACGAAAGCAUGUUGCAAUUUAGUUCAUAUUGACGUAAUAAUUUGCAAAAAUCGAUUAUCGAUAUCACGACACUUCAACCACUAUCGUAUAAACUUUGUUUCUUCUAAAAACUAUAAUUUCGUGUACUUCUAGAGAAAAGUGAGAAAAAUUUAAUUCUUCAACAUGUAAAUCAUCCGAGAUUAGAAAAAAAUUAUAUUAUUGCAAUGUUGUCUAUCUUUCAACUUCGACGUAAACUUUAUUCGAAAUACCAAACAAAAUUCGAGAAACAAAAAUAUAAUUAUAAAAAAACCAGAGGUUAUCUCCUACUGUGACGUUUUUACAUAUCAAAUUUAAAUUGUCACGCUCUUCAAAAAAAGUCUCUUCGAAAAAUAGUACGGUUUAUAAUUUGAUAUGUGUAUAAUUACAAACAAUAAUACAAGCUUGCAACCAUAAAGAAAGAACAGUUCAACGCACUAAUGUUCAUUUUGACAGCGGGAGUGAAUACGAAGCCGCUCCAUAUUCCAGGCUGCAAAGCUAUCGCUAUUGUUCGCGAUGAACCAGCUAGGAAGAAGAAUAAAAUUGCGGAACCAUUACCAUCAUUGACGUUAGGUUAAUGAGAAGUAUUAUUUAUCAAGCACAUAACGAUCCUUUAAUGGGUAUCCGGCAAAAGAAGUACGAAAGAUGAAAAAUAAAACGGAUGUCAUUUAUCGAAUAAAUUGCUGUUUGUCAAGCAUUCUUCAGACGGUAUCUGAAUCCUUACGCAACUCACGUUUUAUCGGAGAAUAUCCUGUAUCGAAGAGUCGACGGCACAAAUCUCUUCAACGCAAAGACUUUUUGCAAAAGAGCGGCUGCCUCGUUAUCGAAUCGGACACAAAAACUAACGAACAGGUUUUUCCGUACGUAUUCCUCCGUAUGUAAAAUUGCAUAGUCUUUCUACAAGUGAUCUUGGUUUUUCUACUUAAUGUCACAAAUUCAAUAACUACUGAUUUAGAUUAAAUUUCAUAAAAAUUU